UCCAGCAUCCCGCCAGCCUGCAGUGUACCUGCUCCAGGUGUGCUUCUCCAAGCGCUGCAAGCUUAGAGUUCGGCAGCAACACAAGCAACGGAGACGAAUAUCUCUAUGGCGGCCUCCUUCUUCCACCCUGGCCUCCCACACCAGGCUUGGGAGGGUUCAGCAGAAGCUCUUCCAGGGACAGUGCCACCACGCAGGAGGAGAACACUGCAGAUGCAGGUGCGCCUGGCACGGGCAGGCUCGAAGCACUGACCAGCGACGAGGCCUGAGCGGGCAGCACGCUGGGCUAGGCACACCGACACCGAGCCAGACUGGGGCCGUGCGGUGGGAGACGGGCACCGGGGCCACUGAGGCACGACGAGAGCGACGCCGAUGCUCGGACACGUCAGCCAGAGCCCAGCAGAGCCCUGGCGAAGCACCGGCCCGUGCGCCCACAAACUCACCUCCCCGCGUGCCCACAACUCUGUUGCCCAAAGCGCAGAGAGUCUGCGGCCGCUGCCCCAGGCCUGCGCCUGCUCCAGAGCGUGCCCGCAAAGCCACAGCCGGCCCCGACACCAGGCCACGGCACCGUCCCUCCGCCCAGCCUGCCCGCACCGUGCUCCUCCGUCUCGGGCCGGCGCCAUCAUUGCGCACGGCCACCCGCACGAGGAGGCCCCUGGGCAAUAAAGACAGAGAGGAGGCAGAGCUCA